GAUGAAGAACGUAGCGAAAUGCGAUAAGUAAUGUGAAUUGCAGAAUUCAGUGAAUCAUCGAAUCUUUGAACGCACAUUGCGCCCCUUGGUAUUCCGAGGGGCAUGCCUGUUCGAGCGUCAUUAUAACCCCUCAAGCUCAGCUUGGUGUUGGGGCCUGCUGCACUGGCAGUCCUUAAAAUCAGUGGCGGCGCCAUCUGGCUCUAAGCGUAGUAAUUCUUCUCGCUAUGGAGUCCUGGUGGAUGCUUGCCAUCAACCCCCAAUUUUUCUAUGGUUGACCUCGGAUCAGGUAGGGAUACCCGCUGAACUUAAGCAUAUCAAUAAGCGGAGGA
rnacentral:misc_RNA from 1 species